AUUGAACGCUGGCGGCAUGCCUUACACAUGCAAGUCGAACGGCAGCACGGGGGCAACCCUGGUGGCGAGUGGCGGACGGGUGAGUAAUGCAUCGGAACGUGCCCUGAAGUGGGGGAUAACGCAGCGAAAGCUACGCUAAUACCGCAUAUUCUGUGAGCAGGAAAGCAGGGGAUCGCAAGACCUUGCGCUUUGGGAGCGGCCGAUGUCGGAUUAGCUAGUUGGUGGGGUAAAGGCCUACCAAGGCGACGAUCCGUAGCGGGUCUGAGAGGAUGAUCCGCCACACUGGGACUGAGACACGGCCCAGACUCCUACGGGAGGCAGCAGUGGGGAAUUUUGGACAAUGGGCGAAAGCCUGAUCCAGCCAUGCCGCGUGAGUGAAGAAGGCCUCGGUUGUAAGA
rnacentral:rRNA from 1 species